rnacentral:rRNA from 1 species
UACGGAAGGCAGCAGUGGGGAAUAUUGCACAAUGGGCGAAAGCCUGAUGCAGCUAUGCCGCGUGUAUGAAGAAGGCCUUAGGGUUGUAAAGUACUUUCAUCGGGGAGGAAAAACAAAACUAAUAAUUUUAUUUCUUGACGUUACCCGAAAAAGAAGCACCGGCUAACUCCGUGCCAGCAGCCGCGGUAAUACGGAGGGUGCUAGCGUUAAUCAGAAUUACUGGGCGUAAAGAGCACGUAGGUGGUUUUUUUAAAGUCAGAUGUGAAAUUCCCUGGGCUUAACCUUAGGAACUGCAUUUUGAAACUGAAAUACUAGAGUAUCGUAGAGGGAGGUAGAAUUCUAGGUGUAGCGGUGAAAUGCGUAGAUAUCUGGAGGAAUACCUGUGGCGAAAGCGGCCUCCUAAACGAAUACUGACACUGAGGGUGCGAAAGCGUGGGGAGCAAACAGGGAUUAGAUACC